GACGAACGCUGGCGGCGUGCCUAACACAUGCAAGUCGAACGGAACUGUUUUGAAAGAUUUCUUCGGAAUGAAUUUGAUUUAGUUUAGUGGCGGACGGGUGAGUAACGCGUGAGUAACCUGCCUUCAAGAGGGGAAUAACAUUCUGAAAAGAAUGCUAAUACCGCAUGACAUAUCGGAACCACAUGGUUUUGAUAUCAAAGAUUUUAUCGCUUGAAGAUGGACUCGCGUCCGAUUAGUUAGUUGGUGAGGUAACGGCUCACCAAGACCGCGAUCGGUAGCCGGACUGGGAGGUUGAACGGCCACAUUGGGACAGAGACACGGCCCAGACUCCUACGGGAGGCAGCAGUGGGGGAUAUUGCGCAAUGGGGGCAACCCUGACGCAGCAACGCCGCGUGAAGGAUGAAGGUUUUCGGAUUGGAAACUUCUUUUAUUAAGGACGAAAAAUGACGGUACUUAAUGAAUAAGCUCCGGCUAACUACGUG
rnacentral:rRNA from 1 species